rnacentral:rRNA from 1 species
AGGACGAACGCUGGCGGCGUGCUUAACACAUGCAAGUCGAGCGGAAAGGCCCUUCGGGGUACUCGAGCGGCGAACGGGUGAGUAACACGUGAGUAAUCUGCCCCUAGCUCUGGGAUAGCUCCGGGAAACCGGGAUUAAUACCGGAUACGACCACUUUAGACAUCUGUUGUGGUUGAAAGAAUUUCGGCUAGGGAUGAACUCGCGGCCUAUCAGCUUGUUGGUGAGGUAACGGCCCACCAAGGCGACGACGGGUAGCCGGCCUGAGAGGGCGACCGGCCACACUGGGACUGAGACACGGCCCAGACUCCUACGGGAGGCAGCAGUGGGGAAUAUUGCGCAAUGGGCGAAAGCCUGACGCAGCGACGCCGCGUGGGGGAUGAAGGCCUUCGGGUUGUAAACCCCUUUCAGCAGGGACGAAGCGAAAGUGACGGUACCUGCAGAAGAAGCGCCGGCUAACUACGUGCCAGCAGCCGC